CGCCUGCGCGGUCUGCGCGUGCGCCUGCGCACUGCGGUGCCUGAAGCCGCGGCUGCUGCCCUCACUUCAGACGCUGCCCACUCCUCCCUUUUACCGGGUGGCGGAGGGAUAAUCCUAUCAAAUCUUCUUGGCUUCACCUUUAAAGAUAUGGUAAAACCAAAAAAGACAUAGCAUUUCACCACUUUGAAUCAUCUUAAUUGAGCAUCUGAUCCUAAGCUCCUUAGGUUCAGAGAGACUCUCUUGCCAUACUCUUCAGUCAUUUCCUACUGGAAUGUGAACACAAGGUUUGAUUUCAGGAGAAAGACCCUGAAAGGAAUGAUGCGGAAAUGAGAUUGGGAUUGUGGAGAUGGGGUUUUUUUUUGAAGCCCUAUCCACAAACUGCUAAAGGACCUAGAAAGUGAAGAAAGCAAUUCCCAUGACCAGAGGACCAAGGUCAACAGUGUACUUUGCUGUCAAGGAACAGAGAAACGGACACCCCAGAGGGUGAUGGUAUUUGGAGUGAGAAUGCUUAUAGGCCAUACUCUGCUUUACUAGACUUCGAGAAUAAGAAAGAAAUACUCCAGAGGCUAAUCUAAUGAGAAAUAUGUGAAGUGAUUCCACUCUCAGGCUGUGGAAUCUACUAAAACUCAGCUUCUGUAGCAUGAAGGACUGCAAGAGAAGCAACUCUGAAGCGAGAUUGGACUCUGAAGAAUUAUGAAAAAUGAUUUCUUACUUGUUGUUUUGUCACUUCCUAUCUAUCAGUGCAGGAUAGUAUCAGUAAUUGAAAAACACACUAGUUGAGACCCUGGAGUGUUUCUGCCCAAAGGACACCACAGCAUAAAGCUGUGGGGAAGAUGGUUGUAAAUUGAAAGGUCUGCAUCUGCUACUUUUUGCCUCCUUUGAAGCCAUUGAUGGUACAACAUGACAGAAACUCUUAAACUGCCAAGGACUUUCUAUUAUUAUCACUUUUUUCAAAGACACUAAAUAAAGCACUCUGUACUCCUAUUGCUACUCUCC